UCCCAGAAAAUGCACUCUCUGAGUAC
rnacentral:piRNA from 1 species